rnacentral:rRNA from 1 species
GAUGAACGCUAGCGGCAGGCUUAAUACAUGCAAGUCGAGGGGCAGCAUGAGUGUAGCAAUACAUUUGAUGGCGACCGGCAAACGGGUGCGGAACACGUACACAACCUCCCUUUAAGCGGGGAAUAGCCCGGGGAAACCCGGAUUAAUACCCCAUAGUAUGGUGAAGAGGCAUCUCUUUAUUAUUAAAGAUUUAUCACUUAAAGAUGGGCGUGCGGCUGAUUAGGUAGUUGGCGGGGUAACGGCCCACCAAGCCUACGAUCAGUAACUGGUGUGAGAGCACGACCAGUCGCACGGGCACUGAGACGCGGGCCCGACUCCUACGGGAGGCAGCAGUAAGGAAUAUUGGUCAAUGGACGAAAGUCUGAACCAGCCAUGCCGCGUGGAGGAUGAAGGUCCUCUGGAUUGUAGACUUCUUUUAUAUGGGACGAAAAAAGGCCUUUCCAGGUCGUCUGACGGUACCAUAUGAAUAAGCACCGGCUAACUCCGUGCCAGCCGCCGCAGUAAUAC